UUCAGGUUCAGUUCAGUCUCGCUUCUCGCGUCGAUCGUUACGGAGUUCUUUUCCGCGGCGCGUUCUUUCGCCGUCCGUUCUCCGUUCAACCGGGGGACUCAUGGAGAACCGUGCGGGCCUGACAGGUGCAGUGCAGUGUCAUAAUUGAGAGGACAGAGAGAAACGUGGCCGGGAAAAACCAAGGAACGAGAAACGAGGAAUAAAGGAUGGAUGAAAGAUAUGCACUCGCGACGCGGACAACAACGACUCGAUCGAAAUAAUAGGCUUCCUUGUAGUAUGUCACUAUCACGAUACAAUACAACCGACACAUUUAUUUAUUAAACAGCACUCUAUUCUCUAACGAUUAAAUAAAGAAAAAAAAAGUUAAAAAGAGAAGUCGUACGCGCAACUUUUGACGAUCUUUCCCCGCAUGAUCGAGAUUCCGAUUGAGACGACUCUUGAAAAUUUCGAACGACUCCGAGGACACCUAUCGCGCGCGAAGAGAGUGUCAUUCAAAAAAGUCGCGGCGUUUGAAGGGUGCCGCGCGCACGCGAAGUCGCCUGUGCCAACGAUUCAGCUGAUCGAGAGAAGGGGUUUAUUGAUAAUUGCGGCUCUCACGGUGUGGUCGCUAAAGUUGUUCGAUCGGGAAGCUCAUCCGUGUUUAUAUACGAGGUAAAGACACGAAUAUCGUGAAAUUCUCAAGAGAGUGGCAAAUAUACAGAAGCGGUAGCAAAAAGUAGCAAUCCAUUUGGAAUGUCGACGUACGGAAGGUGGAUUCCGUGGCCGGCGAGGACGCGUUUUCGACACUCGAUAAAAUCGCCGGCGAUCCGUCGCAGCUGAGAGAUCAGAUGAUUGACCGGAUUGAUUGAUCGCGCUAUCUUGCAGCUUUCCUUCGGCGAUUCGACACUUUUUUCGACACGUUCGUCCUUAAAGCUGGCGAACGUGCGACGGAAAGAAGGGAAUUUCUUGCUGUUAAAACGCACCGCAAGUAAUUUUGGAAUUAUUCGCAGAAGAUUCGGAAAAGGUGCAGCAGCCAUGGACUGGAGGGGAUUCGCGCUGGCAUUUCUGGUGAUCACAAUAACGAGGCACGGCGGUAGCGGCGCACACGCAGCCCAGAUACCUCAACAGCUGCCGACGUGUGAGUAUAUUAACACCGACGUGUAACACAGACUCGCCGCGAGACUUACUUUCUAAUUGUCUCCCGGGCGACGGGUGACGGCUAAUUAGGGCGAAUCAAUUA